ACCCUAACCAUGGAAACUUCUCAACCGCAUAUCAUCUCCUUGGCCCAUUCGAUGAUCUCCAUAUGAUAUGCUGCAUAAGUGUUGUCCGAGCAAAUAGGGGCUCUCGGGCAUGGAAUGUUAUGAGAUGGGUUGUGGAGAUGCUUCCGGAUCAUGGAAACAUAGAAGACAUCAUGCAAGGUUGCAUAUUCGAGGGUUAGAGUGAGGUGGUAUGCCACGGGGCCUACCCGUUUUAAAAUCUUCAGGGGUCUAAUAAAACGAGGACCUAGUCUUAGUAUUUUCCCAUCACGCCAUCCUACCUUGCAUGGGAAAACCUUAAGGUAAACGUGGUCAUUGAUUGCAAACUCCAAGGGCAAUAUCUGAUUGUCUAUGUAGCUCUUCUGACGACUUAUAGCUACAAGGAGGUGUCUAUGGAGGUGUCUCUAGAUAAGUGUCCAUAGACAUAGUCCCACUCAAGAAGGCGUCUGUUUCCAACUUGAUUGCAACGUGUUAGGGAUCGAUAAGGUCUACC
rnacentral:lncRNA from 1 species